rnacentral:rRNA from 1 species
UACGAAGGGGGCUAGCGUUGCUCGGAAUCACUGGGCGUAAAGGGUGCGUAGGCGGGUUUUAAGUCAGAGUGAAAUCCUGGAGCUCAACUCCAGAACUGCCUUUGAUACUGAAAGUCUUGAGUAUGGGAGAGGUGAGUGGAACUGCGAGUGUAGAGGUGAAAUUCGUAGAUAUUCGCAAGAACACCAGUGGCGAAGGCGGCUCACUGGCCCAUAACUGACGCUGAGGCACGAAAGCGUGGGAGCAACAGGG